AGUCCAUGGUGAUGACACCUUCUCAACAAAUCCUUAAAUCUCUCCCAUGUAUCAUAAAUAGUUUCUAUAUCAAACUGAACAAAAUAAUAGAUGUCGUUCCUCAACUU
rfam:Gossypium raimondii Chr05_contig_428, whole genome shotgun sequence.